rnacentral:rRNA from 1 species
AACAUAAGAGCAUACAGAGGAUGCCUUGGGAGUAAAUGCCGAAGAAAGACGUGAUACACUGCGUUAAGUUUGGAUCAGGUGUGUGUAACCGUUAUGAGUCCAAAAUAUCUGAAUGGGGAAACCCGGCUAGGGUAAUGCCUAGCACGAACUGGUGUAGUAGCCAGGUAAUCGGAAACCCGCUGAAGUGAAACAUCUCAGUAAGCGGAGGAAAAGAAACAGACAUGUUGAUUCCCUUAGUAGUGGCGAGCGAAGGGGGAGUAUGCCAAAAACUCAUGUUAGCCUGUUAACUGGAUUAAUAAAUCAUGUGUAGCAAUACACUUUUUUGGAUUGAGAGUUAGUGCCUGAUUGGAGGUUAAGCGCAUUGAGGGUUGUGGGAGUUUACGUUCAAGUCUAAUCGCUUGAAAAUAGGUCUACAAAAUAAUACAACAGUAAAAUUAACUGGAAAGUUAAACCAUAGAGGGUGAUAGUCCCGUAUACAAAAUUGUAUUAUUACCUGUUAGUAAAAUUUCCCAAGUACAACAAGGGCACCGUGAAGCCUUGUUGGAAUCAUCCGUGACUACGCGGAAAGGCUAAAUACAUUUACUCACCGAUAGUGAACAAGUACCGUGAGGGAAAGGUGAAAAGAACCCCGGAUAGGGGAAUGAAAUAGAUCCUGAAACUGUAUGCUUACAAUGAGUGGAAGCAGGCUUUUGUCUGUAACUACGUGCCUAUUGAAGAAUGAUCUGACGAGUGGACUGUGUAUGGCAAGGUUAAAGUCGAAGGAGACUGGAGCCGCAAGUGAAAGCGAGGGUUAACUGCCCGUUUAGUCGUACACAUCCGACCCGAAACCCAGUGAGCUACCCAUGAGCAGGUUGAAUCUUAGGUAAGACUAAGAGGAGGACCGGACCGCUAACGGCUGCAACCGUUUCGGAUGACUUGUGGGUAGAGGAGAAAUUCCAAUCGAACUGGGUAAUAGCUGGUUCUCGCUGAAAUAGCUUUAGGGCUAGCCUCGAGUAAGAAGCUUGGGGGAGGUAGAGCACUGAAAGAGAUUGGGGCCGCAAGGUAUCCAACUCUAACAAACUCCAAAUUCCUCCGUAGUGUUUCUCGGGAGUUAGGCAGUGGGAUCUAAGUUUCAUUGCCAAAAGGGAAACAGCCCAGAUCGUCGUUUAAGGCCCCAAAAUCUAUGCUAUAGUGUAAAGGAGGUGGAAUUACUUAUACAACCAGGAGGUUGGCUUAGAAGCAGCCAUCCUUUAAAGAAAGCGUAACAGCUCACUGGUCAAGUGAUUCUGCGCCGACAAUGUAUGGGACUAAGCAUAGUGCCGAAAACACGAAUAGAUACAAAUAAUUAGUAGUUCAUAUUUCUGUGAAUUGUAUAAAUUAAUGAUAAACUAUGAAACAAGAAUUUUGAAUUGAAAUAUCAACUGCUAACUAUUUGUAUAUAUGGUAAGCGAGCGUUCUAAUUGCACUGAAGCCCAAGAGGUAACUUAAGGUGGAGCGAUUAGAAGUGAGAAUGUCAGAAUAAGUAACAAAUGAUGUGAGGUGAAAAACCUCACCACCAAAAAUCCAAGGUUUCCUACGCUACGGUUUUCGUCGUAGGGUAAGUCGGGCCUUAGGAAUGUCUCUAAUGGGGCUUUCUGAUGGACAUAUGGUUAAUAUUCCAUAACUAGGUAUAAAUGUGAUGAAGGGACGCGAUCUGCUAAUCAGUUCAGUAUUUGGCUAUUGCUGAUUGCAAGUUUAGGUGUGCAAAGUUAAGCGGUAAAUCCGUUUGACCUAUAGAAGGUAUCCUUAUGGAUAUUGUUUUACACACUGAGAUAAGCAUGAAUAAUGGUAACAUUAAAAGCUGAUGAAGCAAGUCGCCUAGAAAAGCUUCUAAACUUAGUUUAUAUCUAUCCGUACCGCAAACCAACAAAGGUGGAUGAGUAGAGAAUACUAAGGUGAACGGGAGAAUAAUAGGUUAGGGAACUCGGCAAAAAAUCAGGCGUAACUUAGGGAUAAGCCUUGCCUCAGCAAUGAGGCUGCAACGAAAGACUCUCUACUGACUGUUUAACAAAAACAUAGCUCCGUGCUAACUCCAAAAGAGGAUGUAUACGGGGUGAUGCCUGGCCAGUGUCGGAAGGUUAACAGAAGCAGCGCAAGCUUCUUCUCGAAGCCCCGAUGAACGCCGGCAGUAACUAUAACUGUCCUAUGGUAGCGAAAUUCCUUGGCACAUAAGUAGUGUCCCGCACGAAUGGCAUAACAAGUGGAGAACUGUCCCAACCAUUAACCCGGUGAACUUACAAAGGGAGUGAAGAUGCUCUCUACCCGCACCAAGACGGAAAGACCCUAUGAAGCUUUACUAUAGGUUGUCGUUGUUGUACGAUUUUACUUGCUCAGUAUAGCUGGGAGACUUUGAUAUUAGAUCCUUGGAUCUAAUGGAGUCAUCUUUGAGAUACCAGCCUAGUACUAUUGUAUAACUAACUUGAACUUAACUCGUUCAAAAACAGCGGCUGCUGGGUAGUUUAACUGGGGCGGUUGCCUCCUAAAUGGUAACGGAGGCGUCUAAUGGUCGGCUUAGCUCGGAUGGAAAUCGAGCCUCAAAGUACAAAAGCAUAAGCCGGCUUAACUGCAAGACCUACAAGUUACGCAGAUACGAAAGUAGAGUUUAGUGAACCGAUGCAUGGAUGUGGAUCCUGCAAAGACCAACGGAUAAAAGUUACUCUAGGGAUAACAGGCUGAUCUUGCCCAAGCGUUCAUAGCGACGGCAGGGUUUGGCACCUCGAUGUCGGCUCGUCUUUUCCUGGGGGUGUAGUAGCUCCCAAGGGUUGUUCUGUUCGCACAAUAAAAAGGCACGCGAGCUGGGUUCAGAACGUCGUGAGACAGUUCGGUCCUUAUCUGGUGUGGGCGCGCGAAUUUUGAUGGAGCGGAUCUCUAGUACGAGAGGACCGAGAUCCAUGUGCCUCUGGUGUACCGGCUGUUCUGCCAAGAGCAUUGUCGGGUAGCUACGCAUAGUUUAGAUAACCGCUGAAAGCAUAUAAGUGGGAAGCUGUUCCAAAGAUAAGAAUUCGUUUCAUAGUUUACUAUGAUGAAGGUUCCUUGAAGACUACAAGGUAUAUA